AUUGAACGCUGGCGGCAGGCCUAACACAUGCAAGUCGAACGGUAACAGGAAGCAGCUUGCUGCUUCGCUGACGAGUGGCGGACGGGUGAGUCAUGUCUGGGAAACUGCCUGAUGGAGGGGGAUAACUACUGGAAACGGUAGCUAAUACCGCAUAACGUCGCAAGACCAAAGAGGGGGACCUUAGGGCCUCUUGCCAUCGGAUGUGCCCAGAUGGGAUUAGCUAGUAGGUGGGGUAACUGCUCACCUAGGCGACGAUCCCUAGCUGGUCUGAGAGGAUGACCAGCCACACUGGAACUGAGACACGGUCCAGACUCCUACGGGAGGCAGCAGUGGGGAAUAUUGCACAAUGGGCGCAAGCCUGAUGCAGCCAUGCCGCGUGUAUGAAGAAGGCCUUCGGGUUGUAAAGUACUUUCAGCGGGGAGGAAGGGAGUAAAGUUAAUACCUUUGCUCAUUGACGUUACCCGCAGAAGAAGCACCGGCUAACUCCGUG
rnacentral:rRNA from 1 species